GGGUGUGUUUCUGAGAACAGAGGAGCCACCAGGUGCUUUGAAGGGUGGAAAGGGCGGGGGGAGUCACAUGAUAAAUGUAGUUAUUUCCAGAAGAGAAAUCCAGUGGCCCCGUGUUCCUGGGUGGACUAUAGGGGCUGGAGGUGGAGGCUGCAGAGGAAGGCAUUUUGGAAAUCCAGCCACAUAGCGAGGGAGCAUGGCCAAGGUAAAUGUAGGCAGGGCAAAGCCAGCUUUCUGAGAAGAUUCAAAGGAGAAUGGAUGACUGUGACUUGAUCUCGUGUCAUUCCCUCUUAUGCAAGAAGGAGGCACUGUCCAGAUGCCAUCAGCCACCAGGCAACACCCUGCUUUUUCCCUUUCCCCGGCUGAAAUGUUGGGUACAGGUCUGUGAUUCAACAGUCUUACACAAUUCACAG